AUACGGAGGAUCCGAGCGUUAUCCGGAUUUAUUGGGUUUAAAGGGUGCGCAGGCGGGAGAUUAAGUCGGCGGUGAAAUUUUGCAGCUCAACUGUAAAAGUGCCUUCGAAACUGGUUUUCUUGAGUAUGGAUGAAGUAGGCGGAAUUUGUGGUGUAACGGUGAAAUGCAUAGAUAUCACGAGGAACUCCGAUUGCGCAGGCAGCUUACUAAGCCAUAACUGACGCUCAUGCACGAAGGCGUGGGGAUCAAACAGGAUUAGAUACCCUGGUAGUCCACGCAGUAAACGAUGAUUACUCGCUGUUUGCGAUACAAUGUAAGCGGCUAAGCGAAAGCAUUAAGUAAUCCACCUGGGGAGUACGUUCGCAAGAAUGAAACUCAAAUGAAUUGACGGGG
rnacentral:rRNA from 1 species